ACAGCGGACAAUUAGGUUCCAGGCUGGGCUGCCGGCCUCCCUCUCCCUCCCUCCCUCUCCCUCUCCCUCUCCCUCACGUACACCUCCCCUUCUCCAUCCAUCUGCAAGGCCAGUGGCAGCCCAGCUCCAGCUCCGUCCCUUCCUGGACACAGAGCCCCCUCGCUGAGGGUGGGGAGCACCCCUGCAGGAGAACGAGGGAGCCCCAGGAUCCCCGCCCAGCUCUGCACCCCGAGACCGCGGCUCAAGUCCCACGGCCCCACCCCAAGCAGGGUCAGGAGUGGGCACGUUCCGGGGAAGCGAAGCGUGGGACCCGGCCCUGGGAAGCAGCCUCUGCCCUUCACCGAGGGGGCCUUUGAUCUGGGCCCUGGGAGGAACUUGGAAGGACUUCUCCAACCUGCAGGAACACAUUUGAGGAUGACAUCCAGUGACCGGCUGCUUCCCGAGGACUGGCCUUGGCUCACCCCGUGUCCCUCUGCCUGGAAUUCCCCUGGCGUCUUCCCAGCCUGACCUCAGCUUGGGGGCCACUUCUUCCUGAAGGCUCCUGAAUGUCCAGCUGGACAGUCCCCCUGAAUGGAUUCCACUGGAAUGACCACUGAGCAAGGGGACCUUCCUGGAGCCAUCAUAUUCACAAUGCCCAGCAAACAGUAGGUGCUCAAUAAACAUCUGUCUCACAAAC
rnacentral:lncRNA from 1 species